GCGUACCAUUAGCUAGUAGGUGGGGUAAUGGCCCACCUAGGCGACGAUGGUUAGCGGGUCUGAGAGGAUGAUCCGCCACACUGGCACUGGAACACGGGCCAGACUCCUACGGGAGGCAGCAGUGAGGAAUAUUGCGCAAUGGGGGCAACCCUGACGCAGCGACGCCGCGUGAGUGAGGAAGGCCUUCGGGUCGUAAAGCUCUGUCAAAGGGAAAGAAGUGCAUGGUGGCUAAUACCUGUUAUGUUUGACGGUACCCUUAAAGGAAGCACCGGCUAACUCCGUGCCAGCAGCCGCGGUAAUACGGAGGGUGCAAGCGUUGUUCGGAAUCACUGGGCGUAAAGGGCGCGUAGGCGGCUUGAUAAGUCAGAUGUGAAAGCCCACGGCUUAACUGUGGAAGUGCAUUUGAAACUGUCAGGCUUGAGUACCAGAGGGGAAAGUGGAAUUCCCGGUGUAGAGGUGAAAUUCGUAGAUAUCGGGAGGAAUACCGGUGGCGAAGGCGACUUUCUGGCUGGAUACUGACGCUGAGGCGCGAAAGCGUGGGGAGCAAACAGGAUUAGAUACCCUGGUAGUCCACGCCGUAAACGAUGUGAACUAGAUGCAGGUGGUGUUGAUCCCAUCUGUGUCGCAGCUAACGCAUUAA
rnacentral:rRNA from 1 species